CAGCGACCAACCAGAGAACCCCGCAGGGGCGGGCACCGAGCCAGAGCGGGCUGAGCGGGACCGUGUGGCUCGGGGCGGCCAGCACGGGGUUUCCCGGGGCCGGGCGGCAGGGUGGUUACAGGAGCGGCACAGGGACGGGACAAACAGGAGAAGUCCUGCUUAAUUCUCGACCUACAGGCCAGGACACUGAAGGAGGUGCUGGCAGGCAGCAGACCAAGACCAAAAGACUGAUGACAGAAAAAAGAGGCAAAGCAGGGAGCUGAACAUGGAUCCCUUGGGAAAAUUGGCCCACCUGGUGGGGUCUCCUCUCUAAGGAAAAGCACUCCAGGCUACCCAACCUUUGAAAAUUGAUGUUAAGGAGUUGCAGGUCACAUGAGGACCCUGUAGUGAGGCUGCUGAUCUGCAAGGAGAAAGACUGCACAGCCAAGCAGGAAGUUUCAUCACAGCCUGCUCAGAUGUUGCUUGUCAUCACUCUGGUCAAACUGGAGAUUUAUGGAGAAGAGCCUCUCCUACUCUGCUUUGGUCUGUCCAUGUGACUCUGACAACAGAGAGAGAAGUAUAAAUUUUGUGAAAACAAGUAAAAGUAUCUGGGGUUUGAGAUCACUGGGAAACUCUGUUUUGUGUUAUAAAGUACUCUUGUUGCACCUUCAAGGGGGCAAAUCUGCCCUGGUGUCCUGACCAACUUGUCCACAGGGUCAGGCUGUGCACAUCUCUGCAAAUCCUCAUUUCACCAGCAAAGCACAUGAGUGCCUGGACACAAAGCCUGGGCAAAGAUCUUCUCAAACUAGAAGCAAACAAUUCAUGCAUUGAACUCUUCUGAUGGAUCCGGAAAUAUUUGCUAAGAAAUUUUCCUCACAGUCCUUGGUCUGGAAUGGUAUCUUAAAUUUUUCUGUGUAUACUCCUGUGGAAUUUCAUUGAAAAUCUGAUGUUUGUAAUCCUCCAGAACCAUUGCAAGUGUUUCUAAUGAACUGAGACAAUAAGAGGGAGAGGAGGCUGUUCAAUUUGUCACUACAGGUUCCUUCUUGAGUGUGAUUAAUACUAUCUUAAUGAUGGCAUUAACCCAUCAUGGAUUGAGAUCUCACUAUGUGAACCAAUAUACCAGGACCGAUGGAUGUCACAAACCCAUUUUUCCCCCCCCCAGAAGGGCUCACCCAAGGCACCAAUAGGCACACAUGAAGCCAUGCAACCAACUGUGCCAUCCCUGAGUAGAUAUUUUUGUAUGUCAUAAUCCAGGAAAGAAGACUCGGUUAAUUGAUCACAUCACUCAGCACUUGAAUCAACUGCUGGGUUCAUCUCAGUCAGCUGAAAUAAAAUACAGCAUAAAUGUGAUGAAACUGACUAAAGUUGUACCAAAAAUAUCACAGGGAAGGAUUUUGGAUGUCAGAUAUUUUGAACUUCCUCUGUAUUAGAAAAACAAACCAAACCAACCAACCAACCAACCAACCAAACCCCAAAGCAAUAAUUUCAAACCUUAUCCAAGCAGCUGGCAAUGGUUUUUACAGACACUUGAGACAUGUUACAGGUGUGUUGCUGGGACUAACCAUUGCCUGAAGAAGCCCUUCUAGAAGAAUCUUAUCCUUAGAUUGUAUUAGCGCAUUUUGAAGGAUUUUCCCAAAUAAUUUUCUCUUUGAUCUCCCUAAUGCCCCAUUGGUUUUCCUUUUUUUUUUUUUUCUCAUCACUGCCUACUCCUUGCUCUGCACUGCCGAAGGGCUCAGGGAGCUGCCUCUUUCCAGAGCUUGGAUGAGGACUCUUCUCACAGCCAUGGCAAAGCCUCUGCAUCCCUGAAAACACAUUGUAGGGCAUCACACUACACACUUUGUCACAUUUUUAAAACCACUCUUCUCAUGGGAUCCAAAGAAAACAGCACACCCUGACUUCUGAGAAAACUGGGAAGAUGUCUGCAACCCUGGGCUGCGGGAUAGGUUGGAGUAGGGUGCCCAAAACCCCAACAAUACCAAAGGCAGCUAUAUUACCCCACUCUGAGGUCUGCCCAUCCUUCAGAACCCCCUCCUAAGACUCCACCCUGGACCCCCAGGGGACAGCAACAGUUGGUGACAAGCAGCUGGGAAUGUUGCAGCACCAGAACUUUCCAACAUAUAAAAUACAACCUCGGGCUACCCAGUUCUGCAUUUCUCCAUGGAGCAUCUAGGGAUGUGCUUAGGUAAAAGAUAUUGUUGAGAAUAAAUCUUGCUUUAUGAGCGUUUUUACUCUUGGCAAUGGGUGGGCCACUGGAAAAAGGACUGUUAGAAAACAAAACUGAAUCUGUAUUGUUGGCCAGGGCAGAAAAUGAUUGUCCAAAAUAAAGCAUAAAACUUGUUAACAAGCAAAGCA